rnacentral:rRNA from 1 species
UAGGUAGAGGCAAGAAGCUGUUAGGUGGAUGGCUUGGCUCUAUAGCUGAUGAAGGGCGUGGCAAGCUGCGAUAAGCCUCGGCGAGCCGCACGCAGGCUUAGAACCGAGGAUUCCUGAAUGCGACUUCGCAUUCCGCUAAGGAAUGAUCCGAAAGGAUCAGGAACGCCGGGAAUUGAAACAUCUUAGUACCGGCAGGAAAAGAAACCAACAGGGAUGCCCUGAGUAAUGGCGAAUGAAAGGGGCACAGGGCAAACCGAAGCUGUUCGCAGCAAUGCGAAUAGCGAUGUGGUGUGGUGGAUUGCCCGCAUGGCUUCUCUUUGGGAAAUCCGAAGUUCCCUGGAAUGGGACGCCAUAGAGGGUGAAAGCCCCGUAGGAGUAACUCAAAGAGAAGUCGGGCAAUUCCUGAGUACUGUCUACUGGAUACUAGGCAGGAAGCUGGGUGCCACCAACAUCCAACCCUAAAUACUCAUAGAGCCCGAUAGCGCACUAGUAGCGUGAGCGAAAGCUGAAAAGAACUCUUGCCGGAGAGUGAAAAGAGCCUGAAACCUAACAGCAACAGGAAGGUGCGGCUUUUCAGCUUUUCUGAGAAGUUGCACUGUCCGUUUCGAAUAACGGGCCAGGGAGUGUAGUUGAGUGGCGAGGGUAAUGUCUUGUGCAGACAAUACCCAUAGCGAAAGCAAAAAGCCCGCAGCAGCUUUUGCUGCAAGGGGCGAGGUUUGAAAGGGCCUCAAGUCACUCAGCUACGACCCGAAACCGGGCGAUCUACUCCUGGGUAGGAUGAAGCCUUCUUAGCAGAAGGUGAAGGUCCGAACCGGUGCUGCGGGCAAGCGUUCGGAUGACCUGGGAGUAGGGGUAAAAAGCCAAUCGAGCCUGGUGAUAGCUGGUUCCCGCCGAAAUUGGCCGUAGUCAAGUCCUUGCAGAGGUAGCUGAAGUGGUAGAGCUACGGAUUGGGAGUGUGGGUUCUGCAAAGGAUCGCCUCCUUGUCCAACUCCGAAUGCUUCAGCACCGUAGAAGCAAGGAAACAGGGGCUCGGGGUAAACUUGAGCUCCGAGAGGGGAACAACCCAGACUGCAGUUAAGGUCCCAAAGUGCCAGCUAAGUAUUAAAGGGUGAAGGGUGUCCGCGGCCUGAGACAGCGGGGAGGUUGGCUUAGAAGCAGCCACCCUUUAAAAAGUGCGUAACAGCUUACCCGUCGAGGUCGCGGGUCCCGAAAAUGGACGGGGUUAAGCUGGUCACCGAUACUGCAGAUCAGCUUCGGCUGUGUGGUAGGCGGGCGUCCUGCGAGGGCAGAAGCUUUCUCGCAAGAGAGAGUGGACCUCGUAGGAAUGAGAAUCCUGGCGGUAGUAGGAUCUUAGUGCCGUGAGAAUCGGCACCGCCGAAAGGGCAAGGGUUCCUUGGCAAUGCCGAUCAGCCAAGGGUUAGUCGGUCCUAACCUGCUUCCUAACAGGACAGCAGGGAAAGGGAAAGGCGUUAACAUUCGCCUACUGCCGAGGUAUGCGCGGCAACGCAAGUCUUGCUCCUGACGCUUCAGGUUAAGCUGACAUAGCUUGUCUGCUAUGUUAACCAGGAUAACUCUGGGGAGUUGCGUAAUGCAGAGAACCAGAGUAAACCUGGGAAUAGUCCUGUUAUGCAGGAUUCAGCUGAUUCCUGGAGCCCCUGAAAAAGGAGCAAGAAAAAAUCCUCGGCAACCGUACCCAGAACCAGCACAGGUGCCCCUAGCUGAGAAGGCUAAGGCGUGAAGGGUUAAUCCGGCUUAGGGAAAUCGGCAAAUUAGCCCUGUAUCUUCGGUAGAAGGGGUCCCUGCUUUCGUGUCCCCGAGAUGCGAAAGCAGGGCGCAGUGACAAGGGUGGCCCGACUGUUUAACAAAAACGCAUCCGACCGCAAGCCUGCAAAGGUGUGUAUGGUCGGUGACGCCUGCCCGGUGCCGGUAUCCGAACCCUCUGUCCAAGGAGGUUAAGGACCGGUAAACGGCGGGAGUAACUAUAACUCUCAGCCAAAUGCGGCUAAGGGAGUUGUAAAACCCGGCUAUAUGCUGGGAAGUUUGAGCUUCAGAAUCCUGAGCAAGGAAAAAAUUCUGAAGCGAUGAUGACAAUCAGCAGGAAACCAUCGGAGGUGGAAAAAUGCCUUUAUGGGAGUAUAAUGGAAUAAUAGAGCUUAGCAGAAUCCCAAAAAGAGGAAAAUACCUAAGAUAUUAUUUGUUGGGAUUCAUAGACGCAGAAGGUUGCUUUUCAGUAAGCAUUAAAAAACUAAAGACAGCGAAAUUCGGUUACGUGUUAGAUCCAGUAUUUACAUUGACACAGCAUAAACAAAACAGGGUGGUUCUAGAAUUGCUGAAGAAAACACUAAAUGCAGGAAGGAUAAUUGAAAAAUCAGGCCAAAAAAAUCUUUUAGUGUUUGUCAUCGAUAACAGAAGAUUACUUAAAGAGAAAUUAAUUAACUUCCUUGACAAAUAUAAACCAAUAGUAAAAUGGAACGAUUAUCAGAAGUUCAGAGAAAUUAUUUUAGCUAUGGAAAGAAAGGAACAUAGAACACGCGAGGGUUUUGAACGUUUAGUAAAGCUGGCAUAUAAAAUGAACAUGGAAGGUAAACAACGACGUUACAAACUCAAGGAAAUUUUUCCUCUGAUGGGAUCCUCAGAGACCGUACGCCGGGCAUCUCCUGAUUAAUGAAGGAGAUGAAGAUACGGUCCGGCUCUUACGAGCUGCUUAAGGUAGCGAAAUGCCUUGCCGGUUGAAUGCCGGCCUGCAUGAAGGACGUAACGAGGUCGCCACUGUCCCAAGCCGGAUCCCGCCGAACACCCUGCCAGGUGCAAAUGCCUGGGAUCCCCAGUGGGAAGCGAAGACCCCGUGGAACUUUACUGUAGCCUGCCGCUGCAGUGCAAGCAGUGUUGCAUAGUGUAGGUGGGAGCUGUUUGAGGAUGCUGUUUUUGGACAGCAUCUUAGGCGCCAAUGUAACACCACCCUUCACUGUUUGUGCUGCUUACUUCCGAAAGGAAGGACACCGGUAGGUGGACAGUUUGGCUGGGGCGGCACCCCGCUGAAAAGAUAUCAGCGGGGCCCAAAGGUCAGCUCACCCGGGUUAGAAAUCCGGGGUAGAGUGCAAGGGCAAAAGCUGGCCUGACUGUGUUCUUACUAAGAUAGAACGCAGGGCAGAAAUGCUGGCCUAGCGAACCUCAGUGUGCCCCUUGGUGGGGCCCUGGGAUGACCAAAAAGUUACCCCGGGGAUAACUGAGUCGUCGCGCCCGAGAGCUCACAUCGACGGCGCGGCUUGCUACUUCGAUGUCGGCUUUUCCUAUCCUGGCUCUGCAGAAGGAGCCAAGGGUGCGGGUGUUCACCGAUCAAAAGGGAUCAUGAGCUGGGUUCAGAACGCUGUGAGGCAGUUUGUUUGAUAUCUACUGGGGAUGUUGGGUGCCUGAGAGGAAGGAAGCUCUAGUACGAGAGGAACGAGCUUUCGGCGCCUCUGGUCUACCGGAUGUCCGACAGGGCAAAUCCGGGCAGCCACGCGCCAUAGGGAUAAGUCCUGAAGGCAUCUAAGGACGAAGCCCUCCUCAAAAAGAGGCACCUUUUGGGCCCUCCUUAAAACAGGAGGUUGAUGGAGCUGAUGUGUAAGCGCCGAGCUUCGGCGAGGCGUUCAGCAUGCAGCUCCCAACAGCCCAAGCCUCUACUUA